CUUUCUAUAGGAAAUCAAGAAACCAAGCAAUAAAGCCCAUAAUAUUGAGAGACAGAAGCAUAAAUUCAAAAAUUUUUAUUGACUAAUAUCAUGAAGAUAAGGAAUCAAAGUUCUCUGAAAGCAUAUUUUUUCAAUCCUUUCAAAUUUCAUCAUCUUAAGCUUUAUUGAUAUCAUUGUGUGAUAAAAAUAAAGUUGUUUUUUC
rnacentral:lncRNA from 1 species